CGACUUACUUCAUAGGCUGCGUCCUUUAAAACUGUGUAACAGACAUAAAUUCAGAUGCUUCACUUCAGUCAUAUAACAAGACUUUUUUAUUAUUUAGCAUAAAUAAGAGAAGGCUACCAGCCACCAGCCAUCAAAGAGCGUCAUUUCUCAUUGAACACGGGGAAAUUGUGCAGAAGCUCACACCAGAACAGGCUCCACAUUUUUUCCCCACGAUCCGGGUUUCCAUGGAGAACGUAAUAAAAGUCUGCCGCGGCCAGCAAAUCCCAGUACCGGGCCCAGUAAGGCCACUCAUUCAAAAGGAAGCCGCUGACUGCACACCAAAGAAAAUAAUAUGAAGAGUAUCUUGCGUUACUGUUACAACUAACCUCAACUUCUGGAGCUGGGCAAGAUAUAAAAUUACCACCGAUAAGUGUAUCCAUUUGAUCAUCUCCCCAAGUCCCUCGACUGAACCAACUACUCAUUCCACCAGUUCUGAAGAGGAAGGAACUUCAAAGUGUGUUCAGGUAAUUAGCAGCUGAAGAGAAUCUAAUGUAAACCAUCGGCCCUGCAUUGCACCCAGGUCUGGUGCCAUAGCCCGUUAACUGGGGAGCGCCAAUUCCCUGUAGCUUGCAAAUCUGCUUCCUCUGAACCGCUGUGUCAAGCCCGCAGUUAUCACAUCUGCAUUUCAAACACACUGGUUCUGGCAUUAAUUAUUAAUUAGCCUACAGUCACCCUGGAGAAUUGGGGAUUCAGUCUCCAUAUAGUUAUUCAUUGACCUCUACCUUACAUUCAUUUUCUUGCCUUCUCCUUCCGUAUAGGAAAUCCUUCAGUAUAACAUGCCUUUAAUUGACACAGUUGCAUGCAUCCACGUUAUAAAAUUGGAUAAGAUGAUUUGACAAGUGUAUCAUUGAAUGAUGCAGAUUCUCAGCAUGGAACGCUGGACAUGUGGUGUUGUGGAGGUCUCUAAAAAUGCUUCAAGAAGCACCUGUCACACCUAAUAUCUUUUACAUAGAUAUCUGGACAUUUAAUGCGUGUGCAAAUAGCCACAUUCUCAGAGGCACAGUCAUACAGAGCAGAUGCAUGCAUUACUAUAAGGAUAUACACGUUUAAAUAAUCAGGGAGUGCUUUUGAAAGCUCUCAACCCUGCAAAAUUUGCGAGGAACUGGAUCCGUUUGCUAUACUGUGCUGUUUAGCUCACUUGCAAAGCAUGACGCAAACCUCGUCACACUAAACGCUGAAACACCGACUCUGUAGGGAGGAAAUGUAUAUCUGUGGCAGUUUAGACCAGGAGCAGCAGGUCGGGGCUCUCAGUGGUGGCUCCUUGACGUUGUUCACAAAGAAGAACAGAUAUUGAGACCAGAUUGCCAAGACCUGUGGAGAUCUACUGCUGGGUACUACACAGAAUUGAAGACAUAAUUUGCACCAUUAAUAGAGCCAAGGGGCGCGCUAUGAGUUCUCAAUAGCAGCACCAGUAACUAGUGUGUAUGAAUAUAAUGGGACUCAGUUUUUUUUUUGAAGAGAUAUAAAU